UACGUAGGUGGCAAGCGUUGUCCGGAAUUAUUGGGCGUAAAGCGCGCGCAGGCGGCCUCUUAAGUCUGAUGUGAAAGCCCCCGGCUCAACCGGGGAGGGCCAUUGGAAACUGGGAGGCUUGAGUAUAGGAGAGAAGAGUGGAAUUCCACGUGUAGCGGUGAAAUGCGUAGAGAUCCGGAGGAACACCAGAGGCGAAGGCGGCCGGCUGGCCGAGUGCUGACGCUCAGGUGCGAAAGCGUGGGGAGCAAACAGG
rnacentral:misc_RNA from 1 species